CUGUUCAAUACGUGAAAAUACCCAUGAGACAGGCUCCUGCUGAAUAUUUGGUCCCCAUGUCAUCAGUGCUGUAAGUGCACGUUGUCAGUUGUUUAAACAUUGUUGAAUCCACUGUGGGUUGGCAAGAAGCAUCUGGGAGCCAGACCUUUCCUGUGUACACAUGCCAAGUGGUGGAUUGUAUUUCCUCGCUACAGUGAACUAUAUCGAGAUAAUUUUUCUUCUUGAGUUUUUUAAUCCAGAAAUUAUUUUCCAAAGCUAAGUAAAGGAACGUAUGAUAAAAUCAUUUAUAAGAAAGCUACCUGAAUUCUGUAACCACUGGUUGAUUACCACUUUUCUUUAGCAUACAUGUAAACAAAUCAUGCAGUUGGACCACAUGCAGAUAGUUAACUUUAUGAUCCUAAGUAGACUGUUUGGGAAAGUUCAUAUUGUUCUUUCAUAUAUUCUCUUUAAAUCAAUGGUUUACUCUAAGCAAGGACAAUAAACGUUGAAUGACCAUUUAAAUACUGUAGUUGGGCAUGGCAUUAAAUUUACAUGUUUGAUUGCAUGUAAUUAGAUGGAACUAAAACCCUAAAUUACAUUUUACAUAAUGUACAUAAUUAUAGCAUAACAUUUAUUCUAACUAAAAGUGCCAGAAAAAGUUUAUUAAAUGUUAUAUUAAACUUAGAAAAUAUAAGCAGUAGUGAUUUGGGGAUGAGAAAACAAGAAUGCUGUAUCAAACUUGAAAAUAGACAAUAGGUUAGUUUUAGAGCACUGAUUGCCUGACCCCAGGCCCCUAAACUGGUGCUUCAUUUGCUACCCUGGGACACUGUGAACAGAGACCUUGAAAAAGUCACAUCUGGUUUGCCCACAGUGUACAAUGAGAACACCUUCGCUCUUUUACAUAAGAGCAGAUGCUUUGUUUAUGUUGGCUUUAUUUCUGGAAUCCAAGUAAGGGAAACUUUCCAAUGAGAGUUCAGCCUAUCCCUUUAGGAGGCCAAAACUGAUCAAGUGUGUUGUUUUUUAAGCUCAAAUUUUUAUUCUUAACGUACCUUAAAGAGCAUCAAAUACUAUUUUGUGGAAAUGAACACCAGGACUUCAUCAGAAGAGUUCCGUAUGCCUAACCUCCCCUUACUCCCCCAGAAGUUUCUUCCUUGCUUCUUUUGGCAGCCCCUUUC
rnacentral:lncRNA from 1 species